GUAGCUAAAUGCGGAAGAGAUAAGUGCUGAAAGCAUCUAAGCACGAAACUUGCCCCGAGAUGAGUUCUCCCUGAGACUUUAAGUCUCCUGAAGGAACGUUGAAGACGACGACGUUGAUAGGCCGGGUGUGUAAGCGCAGCGAUGCGUUGAGCUAACCGGUACUAAUGAACCGUGAGGCUUAACCUU
rnacentral:rRNA from 1 species